GGAGUCAUGAGAGGUACAGUAAAUGAGUUGACCUCGGAGUUGACAGUCUGAGUCUCCUCACCCUACCCUUCCUUCAGUUCUCUCUGUUUAUAGAUACUAAUAUUCUUAGCCAGAGGUCUGACUAAUAACCUUUACUUGCUCCAAUAUCUAUUACACCCUGCCCACAUGCCGUAUGAUGGUAGAGACUAAAAUGGGAGGAGAGCAUUUGGAGAUGAGAAUCAGCUUAGAGACAAGAGCAACAUUACUCACAGAGCUCCAGUCUUGAUACACUAACAGUACUUGGUUCUCAUAAAGGUGACCUCAUUCUCCUAGCUAAUGACAGUUCUUUAAUACACCUCACUCUUCAUUCCUCCUCAUCUCAGCAAUAAUCUCUGGCUCUCUCUUCAGUCUUCAGUAUAGAGCCAAACAUGGAGUCCUUCCAGUAUGAUGAUACUCUUCCACAAUAUGUCGGGAAGUUGAACGACGUCCUUUUUAAAUGGCCACUGCUGUUCACUCUCACUGAGGACAGGAUUGUGUUGGUCUACAGUGUCUCUAAUGCUAUGAUCAUUGCUGCCAUUCAUCCACUGGAAUACUGUAGAAUGUUUAGCUAUAACACUCCAGAUGGUCCCUCUCUCUUACAAACUCUAUCUUUGUCAUUAUUUCAUAAAAUCUGGGUCUCUCCUGAUCUAGGAGUGUCUCUUAAUUCAUUGGAUCAAUGUUCCCUCCCACUCAAUGUACUGGAGACUGGAACUGAGACAUAGUGUCAUUCUUCCUUAGGAAUAGAGAAAUAUGUGCUGUGUCACGUCAUCAUGUUCAAA